rnacentral:lncRNA from 1 species
CUGUAGUCAGCCAGGAGCUUGUACUGCAAUUGACAGGGCUAUUCAUGGAAAGGGUUUUGAUUAGAGUUGCCAUGACAAUGGGAAACACCUAAAAAAGAUCUAUGAAAUGUUAUAUCGGCAUCAAGCCAAGAAGUUAAGCCAAAUCCUGUGCUCUGGUUAUUCCUGUGAGUCAGUGCCUUUCAUCACAGCAUUGCUAAAAGAAGGAUUUGCUCGUCUGACUUUGAAGAUUUGGGAGAAACAGAGCACCCUGAUGGACCAGCUGCCUGAAGGGGACAGGUGGAUUUUAUCCAUUCAGGACAGCAGUGCAGGGUACAAAACACAGCCAGGGAGGGGCAUCAUCUCCUGCUUCUCCUCCUGUCUCCACCCCACCUAACAGCUCAGCAGCAGAAAGGACAGGCUUGUGUUCAAAGAGAAUAAUGAUGGCUGAUUUGUGGGAUAGCUGUCAUAUUAUUGUCUGACGCUCGAAAAAGAGAAUUUGAAGACUGAGAUAUUUAAAGACAGUAACAAGUCACCCUGGGGAGAAUUCCCACCUGCCUAUGGCAGGAGCUACUGCUUGGGAAACGUGCUGCCAGGUCCAUGAGUGAGGCCACAAAGGUGAAUUUGACCCUGCUCCCUCCUUCCCAUGGAGAAGAAGCUCAGGGGCACCUUCAGCUCUCCUGUCUGUACCUCCCACGGAAAUGCUUCCAGAAAUGGGAGGCUCAGUCUUUCAGGAUCUUGGAAAGUCUCUGUAUUGCUGGGAGGCAUUGACCCACGCUCUUGCAUGGCCAUGCAGAUGAAUCCAGCUGUGCAGCCAAGGGAUGAGCCCAGGAAUGGACCUGGGGAUGCAGUGGGGAAACACCUGCAGGGUGCACCCAGGAGUGCAUCCCUGGCUUUUUACCUAAGCUGAACACACACCUUUUGUCCAGCACUGGAACAGGCUGCCCAGGAAAGAGGUGGAGUCACCAUCCCUAGAAAUGUUCAAAACCCUUGGCAGAGUUAGAUAAAUUGUUGGACUUGAUGAUCUUUUCCAACCUUACUGGUUCUCUCCUAGAAUCUUACAUAGCCAUUAACCAUCACAGGGGCUGAUUUUUCAAAUGUGACAAAUCACAAAAGAACUGCAUGAAACUCACUAUAAUCACACUUCUGUGGCUCAACAAAUCACACCAGGCUUCUCCAAGUCCCCAGCAGCCAUUCCCCACCCAUGAAGUAGACCUGUGCUAGCGAGGCAGAGCUCAUCAGCAGCAUGGGGCUGUCACUGGCUGCUCUACCCAGGUCUGGAGAUGGGCAGCAGCUGCUCCAGACACCUGUGCUGGAAGCUGGGUAAGAACUGGGAGAGAAGUCCAGCACUGGCAGAGACUCUGGGUCUCCUCUGCAGAGGAACAGUGACAGAUUUCACCUCCUGGCUGCUUGUGUGGAUAAGGGAGAGAGGGGGUGGCCAGA